rnacentral:rRNA from 1 species
UACGUAGGGGGCAAGCGUUGUCCGGAAUCAUUGGGCGUAAAGCGCGUGUAGGCGGUUCGAUAAGUCUGCUGUGAAAGUCCAGGGCUCAACCCUGGGAUGCCGGUGGAUACUGUCGGACUAGAGUACGGAAGAGGCGAGUGGAAUUCCUGGUGUAGCGGUGAAAUGCGCAGAUAUCAGGAAGAACACCCGUGGCGAAGGCGGCUCUCUGGGACGGUACUGACGCUGAGACGCGAAAGCGUGGGGAGCGAACAGG